AUUGAACGCUGGCGGCAGGCCUAACACAUGCAAGUCGAGCGGAUGAAGGGAGCUUGCUCCUGGAUUCAGCGGCGGACGGGUGAGUAAUGCCUAGGAAUCUGCCUGGUAGUGGGGGAUAACGUCCGGAAACGGGCGCUAAUACCGCAUACGUCCUGAGGGAGAAAGUGGGGGAUCUUCGGACCUCACGCUAUCAGAUGAGCCUAGGUCGGAUUAGCUAGUUGGUGGGGUAAAGGCCUACCAAGGCGACGAUCCGUAACUGGUCUGAGAGGAUGAUCAGUCACACUGGAACUGAGACACGGUCCAGACUCCUACGGGAGUCAGCAGUGGGGAAUAUUGGACAAUGGGCGAAAGCCUGAUCCAGCCAUGCCGCGUGUGUGAAGAAGGUCUUCGGAUUGUAAAGCACUUUAAGUUGGGAGGAAGGGCAGUAAGUUAAUACCUUGCUGUUUUGACGUUACCAACAGAAUAAGCACCGGCUAACUUCGUG
rnacentral:rRNA from 1 species